rnacentral:misc_RNA from 1 species
UACAAAACCUUCCAGACAUGACUUGCCAGGAGUACCAGGUUGUAUCUGCAUCCCAAUCCACACAAAAUAAGAAUCACCAGGUAUCUGAAGGGAAGACUGGAGCCAAUGCUGCCAAUCCUGAUGAUGGAAAAAUGGCCAUGGUGGGAAAGUCACCGGGUAUUGGGCAAGAACUUAAUUUUGAUAAUUCAGCUAGAACUCUUAACUUUGCGUCUUCUCCUUUCACCGGGAACUGGCCUGCUUGCCCCAUCAUUUCAACCACAAAUUCUUCAGUUGCUGUUAAUUCUUCAAAUUCCCAGCAGCACCAAUUACUUCAGCUUCAAAAGCAACAUAUUUUGCACCAACAGCAACACCGACCUAGUGGAGCAGCUCGAAGUAAAACACUGAUGACUAACAGUCUGCCUUCAUCUUCCAUUGGUUCCAAAUUUUCAAAUAACCCUAUACUUUCAGAAAGUUUAGCCCAAAGCAAUAGCUCUCCCCAAAAUCCCCAGUGGGCAAACUCACCAAAGACCCCAACCACUCAAGCUCCUCUUACCCCACUCAUGGUUUCAAACACCCCAACUCUUAAUGUUACUCAGCAGCAAGGAAGAGCUCCACAAGGCCAGAUAUCUUUUGGGCGAAAUUCCAAGUCUAAUUUAGCACCACAAGGGCAACAAAUACCUUCUAGCAACCAGUCUCCCCUGUUAGUUGCUGGUGCUCCACCUAUAGGUAUCUUGAGAACAACUUCAGCAAAUGCCAAGGGAGCUAAUUCAUCAGUUCCUGUAUUGCAAUCGCAACAUGGUGACAAUUCUUUGACUGGGAGUGGCCAGAAAACCUCCCCAGUAUGUGGUAGGAAUGUGCCUUCGAUCUUAAGUGCUUGUCCCAGUCACCUUUCGGAGCUAAAGUACUAGUAUCCAGCUGAAUGGGAGUCAUAUUCUGCAAAUUGCAAUUCCUGGUUCUAUCGGGUAAUUUCAUGAAGGAGCAUGUAGAUGGUGUGGUUGCACCUUACUUCUGAGUCCAUUGUCUACCGUUUGCUGGCUAAUUUGAUGGUAUACCAUUUCCUUUCCUGUGUCCAAGUCCAUGGCAGCUGAAGCCGCAGAACUAUAAUGGGCUUACAUUGUAUGCAGUUCAAUCCUUGGCGUCAGAUCCUGGCAUAAUUCAUUCUUGUUGGAGGAUAAGAUUUGAGUAUAUGUAUCUGACAAGACCUAUCUGGCAAGGAAGAAGAGUUACAGAGGCUACUGAGAGGUAGAUUUGUCACUGCCAAAUUCCCCCAAUCUACCUGCUGCUAUGAAUUGAGGCGGAAAUGGGUGAGGAGACUGCCAGACUAAGACUGGUAUUGGAAGGGAGAUGGACCUUUCAUUAGGCCUUACAAGUUUUGACGUUAAUUUAGUUGGGAG